CACAAAUUGUAGGAAUGAACUGUUCCCGGGCCAGGAGAUCGGCCACUUCUCUUAGUCAUCGGGCAGACUCCCACAGUAUGCUGCUAAGCCGGACAUGAUAGGUUCAUUAGUUAUGUAUGAGUAUGUAGCAAUGUAUGUAUCGCGGUAUGGAACGUACGUCAAGGUAUGGAUCUGUCAGUUCCGUAAGCCAAGUUUAGAUCUAAAGCAGCAGGAGCGAACACGUUGGCUCUCAGGCCCCGC